ACCACCAACAACAACAACAACAACAACAGGUCAACACGGCGAUUGUACAGGUUCUUCUGAUCUGGACUUGGUCAUGUUGGCUCUGCGUGUGGCUGAACUCCUCCUGAUUACUGUGAUCACUGUUCUUCUCUUCAGAGCUCGAGGGAACCAGAGACCACCUGAUGACAUCACUGUGUAUUAUGAUGGAGAUGAAGGCUCAGUGAACUAUGAAAAUGUUGGAGAACCUUCUGCUUCUGUCAGACUCCACUGAUCAACAACUUCCACACAAACAUCCACUCAGCAGAUACAUUAAUCCACCGCUUUUAAUCAUUUCCAUAUUGUACUUUUGAGCAUAAAAACAUGGAUCCACAUUUUAUUUGAGGUACUAAGUGAGGAUUUGAUAAAUGUGCUGAUGUGGAAUAUGAAGUUGAUAUUUGUUACGGCCUCCUGAACCAAAAUUAUUAAACCAAGGCUCAAAACUCUGAGACGGAAAACAUACAAGGACGCCACAAAGAUUUAAAGUUCAACCCUAGCUUUAUUUAUUGUAAAUACCCCACUCCCCCCAAAGUAAUCAAAGAUAGAUAAGAAACAAAAGGGGCUGGAGACCCAGAAGAAAAAAAACAAAAGAUGGGAAGAUGCUGAGCCAACCACGUAAUGUGCCGUCAUUAUGGUACCUCCCCCUAAAACUACCUAAGAAGAAAAGAUUAAACUAAAGAAACCAAAAGACCCAAAAUAGGACUAACAGUGAUCUCCAGUCAAAACUCAAAUAAUAAAACCCAACAAUGUUAACAUAUGUGGGGAAAACCAGUAAAACUGGGAAACAAAAGCUCCUCACCACAUUGCUGCCCAGAGUGUGUGCGCCCCUGACUCUCCUACCUGGCUCCUCUAAAUACCCCUCCAGCUCCUCCUCCUCCUCCUCCUCCUCCUCCUCCUCCGCUCAGGUGAGCAGCAGGUGAAGGAGGAGGGAGAGAACAUGGUCGCACGUACCGGUCUGUUUUUAAUGAGCUUGCUGUUCAAGAAAGAUUGUGUUGUGUUAUCAAUCAUCACUUGGGUUAAUCUUCAGUUUUUGCAAACAUGGCAGAUAAUAUUUUUUUUGUAGAAAGCUUCAUUUGUAUAAAGUUCUUCAUAUUUUUGAGUGCCUUAAAAUGUCAGAAUAAUCUAAUUUGAAUCACUAUGUCAAAUUAACUUUCAUGUCUUAUUGUUGCUUCAAUAUAUUUGAUUGAAUGUGUAUAUUUUACUUAAAGGAGGCCUCACUUUCACCAUUAAUCAUGUCAGUCUGGGACACCUGUUGAGUAGUGUUGUGAGAUGUGUAGCUCAAAAACCUUAUUAUUUACGUCGGUAAAAUCUCUCAUAUCAGCCUCUGUGUGAAACGGUUCAUUUCAGCUGCUGUCUCUUUAAGACCCCCCUCCCCACGUGCCCACAUUACUCUGAUUGGCCAGCUUUGCUAAAACCUCUUUGGGGGUAGAACUAAUGAGCUACCGGGUGGGCAACUCCUUCAACUUUACCCCAUGUUUUGUUCUGAUGCAUUUCCUAACUUUUUCUUUAAGAUCUUGUUCAGAGCAGCAGGAAACCACGUCCGGGGAUUACACCAACAUCUGUGUAUCUUGUGUUUAAAAAACUUUGCAGAGGUUUAGUAUGAACAUCCAACAUGGUAACAUUAUAUGUAUGUUUUUAAAUAUGGAUCAACAUAAUAGAUCUCUUUUAUUAUUUUUCAGUAUUCAGUCU